rnacentral:rRNA from 1 species
CCUACGGGAGGCAGCAGUGAGGAAUAUUGGUCAAUGGACGAGAGUCUGAACCAGCCAAGUAGCGUGAAGGAUGACUGCCCUAUGGGUUGUAAACUUCUUUUAUAAAGGAAUAAAACGAGGCACGUGUGCCCUUUUGCAUGUACUUUAUGAAUAAGGAUCGGUUAACUCCAUGCCAUCAGCGGCGGUAAGACGGGGGAUCCGAGCGUUAAGCGGAUUUAUUGGGCUGAAAGGGAGCGUAUCUGGGAUGUUAAGUCAGGUGUGAAAGUUUGGGGCUCAACCGGAGAAUUGCAAUUGAUACUGGCAGUCUUGAGUACAGUUGAGGUAGGUGGAAUUCGUGGUGUAGCGGUGAAAUGCUUAGAUAUCACGAAGAACCCCGAUUGCGAAGGCAGCUAACU